AUUGAACGCUGGCGGCAUGCUUUGCACAUGCAAGUCGAACGGUAACAGGGUGCUUGCACCGCUGACGAGUGGCGAACGGGUGAGUAAUGCGUCGGAACGUGCCGAGUAGUGGGGGAUAACGCAGCGAAAGUUGUGCUAAUACCGCAUACGUACUGAGGUAGAAAGUGGGGGACCUUCGGGCCUCACGCUAUUCGAGCGGCCGACGUCUGAUUAGCUAGUAGGUGAGGUAAAGGCCCACCUAGGCGACGAUCAGUAGCGGGUCUGAGAGGAUGAUCCGCCACACUGGGACUGAGACACGGCCCAGACUCCUACGGGAGGCAGCAGUGGGGAAUUUUGGACAAUGGGCGAAAGCCUGAUCCAGCCAUGCCGCGUGUCUGAAGAAGGCCUUCGGGUUGUAAAGGACUUUUGUCAGGGAGGAAAUCCCUAGUGCUAAUAACACUGGGGGAUGACAGUACCUGAAGAAUAAGCACCAGCUAACUACGUGCCAGCAGCCGCAGUAA
rnacentral:rRNA from 1 species